rnacentral:lncRNA from 1 species
GUUCUCACUCAGAGGAUUCUGUUGGUGCCUUAUCCUUCCUGGAUGACAUAAAGAUUCUACAGUGAACACUAAGAACUUCAAGCAGGGAAGGAAAAAAAGGCACAAACUUAGACUUGGGCAGCACCACAGAACAGGUCCCUAGCAGAGCCAGCAAUACUGCUGAGUCCUCUUCAUUAUCAAGCCAGUAGACCAUCUAGGGGGGAAAAAAUGGAUUCAAGGCACUCAGAACUCCACUGGUCAAACAGAAAUAAACAUUCCUGUUAAGUAACCAUGAGCAGAAAGCAAGAGUCUUGCAGAACAAGCCUCAUAUCAACACAGCUGAAGACUUUCCUGAG